AUUACUGUACGUCCACACCAGAAGCGAAUUGAGCGACCAAAUUGCCGGAAGUCAUUCACUUUCUAUGGGCAAGAGCGACCAAAGCGACCAACGCUACCAGCGGCCAAAGUUGAGCGACCAGAGCGUCAAAAAAAAGUUGACAACUUUUUAACUUUAUGCAAAUUACUAUGACGCGCUUCAGCGGCCAAACACUGACAGCCAAUCGGAAUGUAGACGCUCUUCGCUUGCGUGGAUCCCAGGGAACACCGGCAGGCACUUUGGUUCCUACCUACCUUUAUUCACUCACUGAACAAAAUGUCGGCUGAAGUAUUAAUCGCGGCUGUAACUGGGCACCCGGUGUUGUACGACCCAACCCUUUUUCAGUUCAGAGAUCGAAACGCCAAGGCUCUGGCCUGGGCGGAGGUGUCACGCGUGGUUGGUUGGUCUGCUUUUAUCCAAAGCAACUUACAAUAAGUCAUUUGACAUAAGAAGUGAAACAAUAUAUUGCUGUAAGUGACAUAUAUAAUGAUAAUGACAGCUGUGUUUUCUGUUU